CCACGACCAUUGUCUGCAUUAGCCCUUUCUCUGCCAUAUGGACUGCGACUACGGUCGCGACCACUCUCUAGGCUGGGUCUUUCCCUUUGAUAAGGACUAUCGCUAUGGGUAUGACCAUUAUCAGGAGUAACCCUUUCUUUACGGUAAGGACUACGGCUGGGCCCAUGACCAUGGUCAUGGCCUGCCCUCUCUUUCCUGUAAGGACUACGGCUUGAGCCUCGGCCACAGUCAGGACUAGCCCUCUCUCUCCUGGAGGGACGUGGGCUGCAACGACGGCCAUAAUCUGGGCUAGCCCUCU
rnacentral:misc_RNA from 1 species